rnacentral:rRNA from 1 species
UACGAAGGGGGCUAGCGUUGCUCGGAAUCACUGGGCGUAAAGCGCACGUAGGCGGCUUUUUAAGUCAGGGGUGAAAUCCUGGAGCUCAACUCCAGAACUGCCUUUGAUACUGGGAGGCUUGAGUCCGGAAGAGGUGAGUGGAACUCCGAGUGUAGAGGUGAAAUUCGUAGAUAUUCGGAAGAACACCAGUGGCGAAGGCGGAUCUCUGGGCCUGUCCUGACGCUCAGGCGCGAAAGCUAGGGGAGCAAACAGG